GCCCACCCCCUCCGCCAGCAGCAGCCUGCGUCUGCCUUCCUGGCCUCGCCAGGGGUGGAUGUGAUACUGGCAAGGGCUUCUUGGAACGAAAAGGGUUGGUUUGAACAAAGAAGUGCUUUGAGAGUUCAGAUGUGGAGCCAGGAACCCUGCCUGCCAUGGGAUGCAGGGAGAGGGGGUGGCGAGCAGGCCACAGCGACCCCAAGAAGCUGCUCCAACCCCUGGGACUAUGGAGCUCUACAGCUGUAGAGACCACCAGGAAGUGGACUGCAGGCCCCUGGCCUCUCCAUUCAGAUUCUGCAAAGAGAUCCUGAUGGGUUGGGCCAAUGGGUCAGGCAUCCAGUCAGCUCUGGCUAAGGGGUGAAGGAGUCA
rnacentral:lncRNA from 1 species